rnacentral:rRNA from 1 species
CCUGAAUCCAUUCCGAACUCAGAAGUGAAACGAAAUAGCGUCGAUGGUAGUGUGGGGUUUCCCCAUGUGAGAGUAGAACAUCGCCAGGC